GACGAACGCUGGCGGCGUGCUUAACACAUGCAAGUCGAACGAAGUGGCGAACGGGUGAGUAACGGGUAAUCAACCUGCCCUUCAGAGGAGGACAAAAGUUGGAAACGACUGCUAAUAACGCAUACUGCAGGAGGGGGUUGAGGGUGCGUAGCUAGUUGGAGGGGUAACGGCCCACCAAGGCGAUGAUCAGUAGCCGGUCUGGGAGGAUGAACGGCCACAUUGGGACUGAGACACGGCCCAGACUCCUACGGGAGGCAGCAGUGGGGACUCUUCCGCAAUGGACGAAAGUCUGACGGAGCAACGCCGCGUGAGUGAUGACGGCCUUCGGGUUGUAAAGCUCUGUUAAUCGGGACGCGGUACCGGAAUAGAAAGCCACGGCUAACUACGUGCCAGCAGCCGCGGUAAUUC
rnacentral:rRNA from 1 species